AGUCAGCAAUGCUGUGAUUUGCAGACUGAAAGACCAAGGCACAGAGCAAGCCAAUGACCCCUGGAGUCCACACCGCUAGGGCUCUACUGAGCCCCACAUUGCUCCAGGUUUUCUCAUCCUGUCUCGGAUUCUACUGCCUUCCUCUGUACUACGACAGUUUUCCUUUACUGGGUCUUUGUUCUGAUUUAUUUUAAUCUGAAAAAUAAGGUGAUCGAGCUAAACCUCAAAAACCCCCGCUUUGAACUUGAAUACCCUGUGAUCUUAUAAUUGAGUGUUAUCCUUCAAUUUGGGGAAGAGUACAAUUUGGUUCAGUGCAGCCCAAACAACACACAUAUUUAUGAAGUUGAGAAGCAGCAGGUCGGGAGUGGUACGAGAUUAAGGGUCUGGUAUUAAUCUGGAAAGCUUCCGGACUAAAAAGGGUUUCAUCUGGUACAGGAGGAAGAGCUGAGAUGCUGGCUGGCAGGUGGGAGGGAGUCAACUCAAGCCUCUUCAGAAGUCUAGAAACAGUCGCAGAGGACUGGAGAGGAAGAGCCAUUAGCAGGGCCUCCUGAUGGGAUGACAGGCCCUCUGGAUCAAGCAUCUUGCUGAGGAGGAACACGAAAAUGGGCCUCUCACUCAGAAUCCUUCCUUUCUUGGGAAUUCAUGCAUUAUUGACUGAAGACAGAUUGACUGACGAAGCAGGUGAGAGAGAGCAGAUGGGAAAACAGGCGUGAGCAGAGAAGUACAAGAAGAAGGAAGGACAGCAAAAUUUACAGUUUUGGAGCUUUGAACCACGUUUUGCUAAUAUAUGAAGGAGCAAGAAUUAAGUGCGGCUUUAAUAAGGUCUCCAGGUCUUUGUGAAUGCUGCAUAGUGGAGCUCUCAGGUCUCAUCUAUGGAAAAAUGUGAUUGAAGAAAGGACUUGUUGCUGCUUUCCCUAAAUGAAAAGUUUUAUUCUAACCUUUCUCGGCUGUGAUCAUCCUGUUAUUAAAGGACUUGUAAAGCAUCUGAAAGUGGCUGGUGUGAGAUAAGGAACUUGAAUGACAGGUCUAUAACGGGCAGAAAUGGGAUGAUGUCAUCUCAGAAAGAGGCGUGGAUGAAGAUUGAAGUAUGUUUGAACAAAAACCUCUGGCCCCACUCAUCGGAUGACUAGGAGGCAGGACUCAUCCUUGGUAGGCAUCUCUCAGCAGAGGCACUGAUGCUCUUAUGAUGGAACAGUGGUCAGGCUCUCUGGGUGGACUUUUGAUGUACUGGGGGAAUGACAAGUGGAAACCAGAAGGUAAGAAGUUGUAGGAAGCCAAGUGUUGUCUGCAGCUGGCAAAUGUGUGUGAUUGGGACCAAAAUUAUUAACGGAUGGUGAUUGCCAGUCUCCUCCAUCCUUUUAUUAUUUUCAGCAGACGUCUGACUUUACAUACCAUUUCCUGCCUUUCUCCACCCAUUCAGAAGAACACUGACUUGUCAGUUCCAUUCUUUUGACUCUCAUAGUCAAGAAUGAGAACUAGAGAGAUCAAAGUCCUAUUCCACUGUUGCUGUAUUGCAACAAUCUUCAGAAAACACCCAGUCUAGCAAACUGAAAGUCUUUUCCCUAAAGAUAAAAUAACAUAAAGCAAAUUUAGAUAAUCAGAAGCAGAAAUUCAGGAAAUAUUCUCUCUAGGGAAGAGAUUUGCUCUAUUGUAAUUUGUAUUUAAAUAGAAUUUAUAUUCAUUAGAUAGUAUGAUAAAAACUAUUACAAAAGACACAAAUGGACAAGCUGACAAAUAAUAAUUUAAUAAUAAUAGAAUAUUAUUAUGUAAUAAUAAUGAUAGAAUAAUCUGGUAGCAAUUUUAAAAUAUUUUUAAAAUGUGGUAAAGACUAGGAGGAACAGAGAGGAGACUGAAAAAUGCCAGUGAAGAUCAUGAGGGAGUCAGCUUCAGACAUGAGGAGUGGGACCAGGAAAGGAAAAGACAGUGAAACAGGUGGCCAGAUGGUCAGCAAGAAGAAGGCACAAGAGCACUGUGAGGGAGUAGCGAAGGAGAGGAAAGAGUUGACAGGGUGACAUCUGAGGCCCCAGGAAGCAAAGGCACAAAAGUGUGAUUAGGAGAAGUGUACGUGCUUGAAGAACAAGUUAGAAGGUAGAAAUGACUACUCAAGCUACUUCUGAUGUUCAAGAGGAGCAACUGUGUGAGGACAGAAAGUCUGUGUCCAUAUUACUUGCCUUUUAUCAUUAUCUGGGGAGCCCUGUGUAUUCUAGGUGACCUGGUAAGCUUGGCCAAUGAAUGAACAAAAAAGUAAGUCAUCUAGUGCUGUUUUACUGUGCAAUGCUCCAACUUUCCUUGCUUGCUUUCUUUAUAAAUUUUAAGUAUGUGUUUUAGGUCUCCACUAUAGAGUGCCAGGUGUGUAGCAGUUACCCCAGAGAUUAGAGCAGUCUGUCCUAUAGGGAAGCUCAUGAAGACAGAAAGUAAAUAACUCAAGAGAUUUUUAGGAAGUCCCUGAAACUGACUGGAUUCACUAGGGCCUCCCUCCCCCAGAGCAAAUAAACAGUAAAAGCCAAGAGUCAUUCUCAGACCAGCUAAGCUUCAAAGAAGAUUCUCAGACAAGCCCAGCCCUACAGAAGAAACAGAAACCAGACAAGCAGCCUGAAAGGAGCAAAGACUAGAACUCCCUAGAAAAAUAAAGGAUGAGCUGAGCUGCUCAGAACAGGUUCAGACCAACUGUGCGUCUGGAAAAGACACUCUCCAGCCUGUUGAGCUGCGUUCAGGUUGUAGCCAUGUGCUCCAAGUUCCCAGUUUUGUGAGCUGUCACCCAUGCUAGUGUGGGCUUUGAUGAUGAAGCUGACUUUGAGUAGUCAUUCCUGCUCCUGUAAAUAGCC